UGGCAGACUGGCCGGAGCCGUAGAAGUAGCUGUAACUGUCCCCGAGCAGCCUGCUGAACAACAGGUCCGGGUCCGGACGGCCACCA
rnacentral:antisense_RNA from 1 species